UCAUCCAUUUUCUGUGUGUGUGUGUGUGUGUGUGUGUGUGUGUGUGUGUGUAAUCAUAUAUAUGUAUAUAAAUGUAUAUAUAUGAAUGAUGUGUUCUACCGAUCCUACUACAAUUUAUCUAGAUAAAACAAACUCAAUAUGCAGAAGAAAUACCUACUCUGCCAAUGUUUAUUACAGUACCAUUGGGAAAGAAAUAUCAACUUAAGUACCCAGCAAUGAAUGUACAGUAAUUGAAAUGUGUGUAUGAACAUACACAGAUGCAAUGGAAUGUUAUUGUGUCAUAUAAAGGAUGAAAACUCAUCAUUACAGCAACAUACAUGAAUUUAAAGAACACUAUGUGAAGCACAGAUACAGAAAAACAAGCACAACAUUAUUACACUCAUACACAGACUUUGAAGAAUCUGAUCUCGGAGAAGCACAGAGAAUGACAGAACAGAGCCUAGAGAAGCCGUGCGGAAAGACUGGUCAAUAUUUACAAAGUUAUGCUGCGAAUGACAGAAUAAUUCCUGGUUUUCUGCUCACAGCAAGGUGACACUGGUUUGGAAAUAGUGUUUGUCCAAAUAACUAAAAGGAUUUUCAAUACUCACACAAUAAAAAUAUAAAUAUAUGAGAUAAUGGUGAUAUAAACUAUCUUAAUUUGAUCACUGCACAACCCAGCUAUUCAAACAUCACACUGCAAUACAACGCAUGGGUUAUUAUUUUUGUGCUAAUUAAAUGUAUUUAGUUUAAAAAUAAAUGUUUAAAAAAAUAAAAUAAAAAUUAAUGCUUGAUUUU
rnacentral:lncRNA from 1 species